AAAAUGCUUCCGUCCCAUAAUUUUUGUCUUAGAUAUGUCUAGAUAUAAGUGUAUCUAAUCAUUUUUAAUAUUUAGAUACAUUAACUUUUAAACAAACUUAAGAUAAGAAUUUUGAAACGGAAGGAGUACAAG
rnacentral:pre_miRNA from 1 species